GGGUUGUGAGGUUAAGCGACUAAGCGUACACGGUGGAUGCCCUGGCAGUCAGAGGCGAUGAAGGACGUGCUAAUCUGCGAAAAGCGUCGGUAAGGUGAUAUGAACCGUUACAGCCGGCGAUGUCCGAAUGGGGAAACCCAGUGUGAUUCGUCACACUAUCGUUAACUGAAUACAUAGGUUAACGAGGCGAACCGGGGGAACUGAAACAUCUAAGUACCCCGAGGAAAAGAAAUCAACCGAGAUUCCCCCAGUAGCGGCGAGCGAACGGGGAGCAGCCCAGAGUCUGAAUCAGCUUGUGUGUUAGUGGAACGGUCUGGAAAGUCCGACGGUACAGGGUGAUAGUCCCGUACACCAAAAUGCACAGGCUGUGAACUCGAAGAGUAGGGCGGGACACGUGGUAUCCUGUCUGAAUAUGGGGGGACCAUCCUCCAAGGCUAAAUACUCCUGACUGACCGAUAGUGAACCAGUACCGUGAGGGAAAGGCGAAAAGAACCCCGGCGAGGGGAGUGAAAAAGAACCUGAAACCGUGUACGUACAAGCAGUGGGAGCACCUUCGGGUGUGACUGCGUACCUUUUGUAUAAUGGGUCAGCGACUUAUAUUCUGUAGCAAGGUUAACCGUAUAGGGGAGCCGCAGGGAAACCGAGUCUUAACUGGGCGUUAAGUUGCAGGGUAUAGACCCGAAACCCGGUGAUCUAGCCAUGGGCAGGUUGAAGGUUGGGUAACACUAACUGGAGGACCGAACCGACUAAUGUUGAAAAAUUAGCGGAUGACUUGUGGCUGGGGGUGAAAGGCCAAUCAAACCGGGAGAUAGCUGGUUCUCCCCGAAAGCUAUUUAGGUAGCGCCUCGUGAAUUCAUCUUCGGGGGUAGAGCACUGUUUCGGCUAGGGGGUCAUCCCGACUUACCAACCCGAUGCAAACUACGAAUACCGAAGAAUGUUAUCACGGGAGACACACGGCGGGUGCUAACGUCCGUCGUGAAGAGGGAAACAACCCAGACCGCCAGCUAAGGUCCCAAAGUCAUGGUUAAGUGGGAAACGAUGUGGGAAGGCACAGACAGCCAGGAUGUUGGCUUAGAAGCAGCCAUCAUUUAAAGAAAGCGUAAUAGCUCACUGGUCGAGUCGGCCUGCGCGGAAGAUGUAACGGGGCUAAACCAUGCACCGAAGCUGCGGCAGCGACACUAUGUGUUGUUGGGUAGGGGAGCGUUCUGUAAGCCUGCGAAGGUGUGCUGUGAGGCAUGCUGGAGGUAUCAGAAGUGCGAAUGCUGACAUAAGUAACGAUAAAGCGGGUGAAAAGCCCGCUCGCCGGAAGACCAAGGGUUCCUGUCCAACGUUAAUCGGGGCAGGGUGAGUCGACCCCUAAGGCGAGGCCGAAAGGCGUAGUCGAUGGGAAACAGGUUAAUAUUCCUGUACUUGGUGUUACUGCGAAGGGGGGACGGAGAAGGCUAUGUUAGCCGGGCGACGGUUGUCCCGGUUUAAGCAUGUAGGCUGGUUGUCCAGGCAAAUCCGGAUAAUCAAGGCUGAGGUGUGAUGACGAGGCACUACGGUGCUGAAGUAACAAAUGCCCUGCUUCCAGGAAAAGCCUCUAAGCAUCAGGUAACAUCAAAUCGUACCCCAAACCGACACAGGUGGUCAGGUAGAGAAUACCAAGGCGCUUGAGAGAACUCGGGUGAAGGAACUAGGCAAAAUGGUGCCGUAACUUCGGGAGAAGGCACGCUGGUGUGUAGGUGAAGUCCCUGCGGAUGGAGCUGAGACCAGUCGAAGAUACCAGCUGGCUGCAACUGUUUAUUAAAAACACAGCACUGUGCAAACACGAAAGUGGACGUAUACGGUGUGACGCCUGCCCGGUGCCGGAAGGUUAAUUGAUGGGGUUAUCCGUAAGGAGAAGCUCUUGAUCGAAGCCCCGGUAAACGGCGGCCGUAACUAUAACGGUCCUAAGGUAGCGAAAUUCCUUGUCGGGUAAGUUCCGACCUGCACGAAUGGCGUAAUGAUGGCCAGGCUGUCUCCACCCGAGACUCAGUGAAAUUGAACUCGCUGUGAAGAUGCAGUGUACCCGCGGCAAGACGGAAAGACCCCGUGAACCUUUACUAUAGCUUGACACUGAACAUUGAGCCUUGAUGUGUAGGAUAGGUGGGAGGCUUUGAAGCGUGGACGCCAGUCUGCGUGGAGCCAACCUUGAAAUACCACCCUUUAAUGUUUGAUGUUCUAACGUUGGCCCCUUACCGGGGUUGCGGACAGUGUCUGGUGGGUAGUUUGACUGGGGCGGUCUCCUCCCAAAGCGUAACGGAGGAGCACGAAGGUUAGCUAAUCCUGGUCGGACAUCAGGAGGUUAGUGCAAUGGCAUAAGCUAGCUUGACUGCGAGCGUGACGGCGCGAGCAGGUGCGAAAGCAGGUCAUAGUGAUCCGGUGGUUCUGAAUGGAAGGGCCAUCGCUCAACGGAUAAAAGGUACUCCGGGGAUAACAGGCUGAUACCGCCCAAGAGUUCAUAUCGACGGCGGUGUUUGGCACCUCGAUGUCGGCUCAUCACAUCCUGGGGCUGAAGUAGGUCCCAAGGGUAUGGCUGUUCGCCAUUUAAAGUGGUACGCGAGCUGGGUUUAGAACGUCGUGAGACAGUUCGGUCCCUAUCUGCCGUGGGCGCUGGAGAAUUGAGGGGGGCUGCUCCUAGUACGAGAGGACCGGAGUGGACGCAUCACUGGUGUUCGGGUUGUCAUGCCAAUGGCACUGCCCGGUAGCUAAAUGCGGAAGAGAUAAGUGCUGAAAGCAUCUAAGCACGAAACUUGCCCCGAGAUGAGUUCUCCCUGAGACUUUAAGUCUCCUGAAGGAACGUUGAAGACGACGACGUUGAUAGGCCGGGUGUGUAAGCGCAGCGAUGCGUUGAGCUAACCGGUACUAAUGAACCGUGAGGCUUAACCUUACAACGCCGAAG
rnacentral:rRNA from 1 species